rnacentral:rRNA from 1 species
GCUCAGUCUUAAACUUAGAUGUUUACACUACAAAAACAUCCGCCAGGGUACUACAAGCGCUAGCUUAAAACCCAAAGGACUUGACGGUGUCUCAGAACCAUCUAGAGGAGCCUGUCCUAGAACCGAUAUUCCCCGUUUAACCUCACCACCCCUUGCCAUUUCAGCCUAUAUACCGCCGUCGCAAGCUUACCCUGUGAAGGGAAAAAAGUAAGCAAAAUGGGUUUUCCCCAGAACGUCAGGUCGAGGUGUAGCCUACGAGGUGGGAAGAGAUUGGCUACAUUUUCUUCAUCAGAAUAUACGAACGGAACUGUGAAAUCAGAUCCUGAAGGUGGAUUUAGUAGUAAAAAUCAAGUAGAGAGUCAUUUUGAAACAGGCUCUGAGACGCGU